rnacentral:lncRNA from 1 species
UGAAUACCUCCACUGAGCGGAACCUCACUACCUAUCAAGAAAGCACCCUGCAUAUCCAGAAAGGAAUCAAUCCA